rnacentral:rRNA from 2 species
CAAUAGCGUAUAUUAAAGUUGUUGCAGUUAAAAAGCUCGUAGUUGGAUCUCAGGUGCAGGCGGACGGUCCGGCUCGCGCCGGUUCACUGUCCGUAUUUCCUGCCCUACUGGCCUGCCGGCUCUCUCCCGCGGGUGCUCUUCGCUGAGUGUCCCGGGUGGCCGGCGCGUUUACUUUGAAAAAAUUAGAGUGUUCAAAGCAGGCCUCGGCUGCCUGAAUAAUGGUGCAUGGAAUAAUGGAAUAGGACCUCGGUUCUAUUUUGUUGGUUUUCGGAACUGGAGGUAAUGAUUAACAGGGACAAACGGGGGCAUUCGUAUUGCGGCGUUAGAGGUGAAAUUCUUGGAUCGCCGCAAGACGAGCUACUGCGAAAGCAUUUGUCAAGAAUGUUUUCAUUAAUCAAGAACGAAAGUCAGAGGCG